ensembl:lncRNA
GUACACAAAGUCAGAUUUCUUUUUUCCCCCAAGACUGACUUGUAUUCUGCUUGGUCUUCCCUUUGGAUUCACGAUGUUCUCUGAGACUCCAAAGUAACAGGGAGUUUUCGUCUCUCUCAUGAAUUCUAAAACACACCCUGGGUAACUAACUUCCAGCUGUCUGUACAAUCAAGGCAGUUCUUCACCCGCCAGCACCACCUGGGAAGCCUGUCUGUCUCAAUGACACUUUACGUAAUGAGAAAGCUGUGCCAACCCCUGGUCUGGAAGAUGACAGAGGGGACAGGCCAGGACGAUUUUCAUGCAGAGAUGACCUUGAGCUGAGACCUGGAUGAUGACAAAGCACUGACUCUGGGAGGCGGGGUAUGGACCUUUCUGGGAAGAGGCAACAACUCUGAGGUGGGAUGAGGGCAGCCUGGGGGGCAAGAUGGAGGUUCGUAUCUGGACGUGGAAAACAAGAGCCAGGACAGGUGUUCCUGUUGUUUCUAGUGCCAGGUGUCUGCCUGGUGGCCUGGAAGAGCCUACGGCCCUCUCCCCAGACUAGUACUACUAAGUUCAUGAAAUAAAAGACAUAGAAUUCUGAAGGAGAUGGGUUAUAAUGAAAUGCAGUUAUCAAAAUACUAUCAAACAAAUUUGCAUUAUAAUAAUAUGUGUGUUUCUUUAUUAAUGAAUUCAUUAACUAGAUUUGGAAGUUGGUCUCAUAACUACUGUAAUUUUAAAAUAGAUCUGAGAGUAAACAUUAUUUCAAGCUGUCAGCAACAGCUGUCAUAUUGUAUCAAAAU